AUUUAUAUAGUUUAAAAUAAUAAAACAUUACAUUUUCACUGUAAAAAUAAAUAUUCAAUUUUAUAAAUA
rnacentral:tRNA from 1 species